UGUGGUUAGCAGCUCAAGAGAGAAGAUCUAACUGAAUCAAUUAUUAGGAACCAAGGAGUAUGUAGCAGACAUUUCAUAACGGUUUAACGAAGGAAGUGAUCUGGGUGAUACAAAGCAAGCAGGGCAAAGCAGAUUGAGAGGCUGUGCUAAACAAACAGACUUGACAAUGACCAUGUUAAGUACACAAGUUGAGCAGCUCAACUUUGCCACCAGAAAAAUAGAAGACUUAGAAAAGAAAAUUGAAAACACUCCUCGGUGACUAAUGGACAAUAUCAAUAAUGUAUUUUUGUGGGAGUAUUAUUGUGGGUUCGACCAUAACUUCAUCAAAGCAGCUAUUUUUCCAGAAAUAGAACCUGACAUGUCAUCAAUAUGCAUCGACAACAGUACAGAGUCCUAUCAAUCAAAUGUUGAUCACAUUAGUAAAAUUGACGUAUGUUUGAAUAAUAAAAAUAUUUGAGAGAAACUCAAUUGUGUUGAUCUGCAUUUAUUUACUAUACUAAAAACA